ACCUGCAACCACCACCACCAAAUCAACACCAGUACCUGCAACCACCACCACCAAAUCAACACCAGUACCUGCAACCACCACCACCACCAAAUCAACACCAGUACCUGCAACCACCACCACCACAAAUCAACACCAGUACCUGCAACCACCACCACCAAAUCAACACCAGUACCUGCAACCACCACCACCAAAUCAACACCAGUACCUGCAAACCACCACCACCAAAUCAACACCAGUACCUGCAACCACCACCACCAAAUCAACACCUGUACCUGCAACCACCACAAACAAAACAAUUGCAGCUAUAACCACCACCAAAGUAACAACCACAACCAGCACCAACAAAUCACUAACUACAGCUGCCACAACAGCAACCACAGUCACCACCAGAGCAAUAACCAGAACCACCACUUUCAACAAUACAACAACCACAGCAGCCACCACAGAAAGAGCCACAUCGUCCUCCACAAGAAGUCGUCACUAACAAGUUAUCCUCCGAGGAUCAUGAAGAAUUAGACUUCUUAUGCCACAGAGAGAAUCACAGAUCAUCCGGAACUUCUACAUAACACUUGCAAGAUAGUGAGGUUUCCUGUGGCUCAGCACCAACGGUCUGUUGCAGGAAAUAGUUUAUGUACUUGCUAAAAGUUUUUGACCCUCCUGGUGGGAAUCCUCGUACAAUAUUUUAAAAGGAAGAACUGGCGACUCGCGGCUCAGUGGCAGCACCUUCGGGUUAUAACCAAAGGUUCUGCGUUUGAUCCUGGGCAGGGUAAGACAUAUGAGCAGGUUUCCUUGCACUUCUUGUCCUUAUUCACUUAACAGCAAGUAGGUACCUGUAUUCAUUAAUAGCAAGUAGGUACCCUUAUUCACUUUAAAGCAAGUAGGUACCCUUAUUUACUUAACAGCAAGUAGAUACCCUUACUCACUUAAUAGCAAGUAGGUACCCUUACUCACUUAACAGCAAGUAGGUACCCUUAUUCACUUAACAGCAGGUAGAUACCCUUACUCACUUAACAGCAAGUAGGUACCCUUAUUCACUUAACAGCAAGUAGGUACCCUUAUUCACUUAACAGCAAGUAGGUACCCUUAUUCACUUAACAGCAAGUAGGUACCGGGGUGUGAAAGAAGACAUAUAUUUUUAUUUAUGACAUUGAAAGAAGUGUCUCAUUUUAUGUGUCUCUUCACUCGUGGUGAAACCUUACCUAUUAAUGUCAUAAUUGUAUAUACAGUGGACCCCCGCAUAACUAUUACCUCCGAAUGCGACCAAUUAUGUAAGUGUAUUUAUGUAAGUGCGUUUGUACGUGUAUGUUUGGGAGUCUGAAAUGGACUAAUCUACUUCACAAUAUUCCUUAUGGGAACAAAUUCGGUCAGUACUGGCACCUGAACAUACUUCUGGAGUGAAAAAAUAUCGUUAACCAGGGGGUCCACUGUAUAGGUGCUCUUUGACUUACGAUGGUUCGACUUACAAUAUUUCAAUUUUACCUUGGUACUAAAGCAAUUACUUUGGAGAUGCAACUUGGAGGUAAUUACCCAGUAUGAUUUACUUUUAGGUACUGGUAUUUAGUUUGUUACGGUAAUUAUUUACAUAUUCAGUGAAGAUAAUUAUUUAUUUUCUUAUUUAGGAUAUCAUUAUUUUUUGAAUUACGAUAUUUGUAACUUAUGAUGGGUUUGUCAGAACGCAACCCCAUCGUGAGUCAAGGACCACCUGUGUGUGUCACCAGUAUCCUGCCAGUAUCUCCAUGCCUUGUACAACCAGGUACCUGAGUGUCAGCCAACUGUUGUAUAUACACCCUUAACUCUACAUAAAUGUCUUUCCACGCCUUGUUGGUGUUACCAUUUAUGUCCUGUCGUGGGUAAUAUUGUGGGAGGUUAUACAGCCGAGCAUUGAAAGAGCUGAUGUCAGGUAACAAACCAAACAUUUUAUACCUUGCGCAGUAUACACAAUGUAGUUUACAUGCAAUAAAAUAUUGUUAGACACAAAAGAAAGCUGCUGACAUGAGGUGCAUUUCUGGCAGCUCUUACUUUAAAAAUUCAGUGGUGUAAACAAAUAAAAAUGAGAAAUAACUUGUACUCGGGGUGGCAGCUUACGAGGUUUUUAAGUGAGGCUUACUUGUGAUUUGUUCCUGCCAUGGUAUUGUAACCACAUUUUGUGUAAAAAUAACAUGUGUAUGGAGUCGUCAUCUCAGCAGCUAGUACUGAGAUUACUUCCUCAACAGUUGGGCUUGUUAAUAAUAACUCACAAAUAAGCCAAACUUUAAAGAAACUUGAUAUGACCUCUUAGGCCAUGCUGGAACAUUAUAAUAUCAACAGUGACUUAAUAAUGAUUUGAGAUGAACUUGAACUUCAUCUAAAGUUCAGUUUGAAGGCUAUUUGUGAAUUGGUCCACCUGGGCUGUGGUUUGUACAUCAGUUUACGUGUGGCCAGCAUCUGGUUGAUCAGUCCCUGAUCCACCACGAGGCCUGGUCAUGGACCGGGUCAUGGGAGCGAUGACCCCUGAAGCCUCUCCAGGUAUACAGUGCUAAUGUUAUCUAGCAAAGAAAAAUCUUUAUAAGACGGAAAUUUUGUACAAACAUUUAAAAAUAAAUUAAUUAAGGUUACCAACUAUAACAUAUAUUUUAAACUUUUUUAUAUUUUUAUAUUGUCCAAAACUUUCAUGUUUAAAAUAAAUAUAUUGUACAGGUUCACAUCCCUUUAUCCGAAAUUCUGAAAUUCAAAAAGUUCCUAAAACUGAAGUUUUUUCGUGGAGUGUGGAGCGUCGGUCAUCUCAGUGCUGGGUCACGCCGCCACAUAGUGGCGUUGACAAUCAUUCUGAAAUUCAAAACAAUACAGGCCCCAAGGGUUUUGGAUAAAGGGAUGAGGACCAAUUUAUGUAAUACACCUACCAUCUGACUUACGACCUGCUCGACUUACGACCACUUGACUUACGACCGUGUUUUUUAUGCCAAAUUU